rnacentral:tRNA from 1 species
ACCUGGCUAGCUCAGUUGGUAGAGCAUGCAACUCUUGUUCUCAAGGUCGUGAGUUCAAGCCCCAUGUUGGGCA